rnacentral:tRNA from 1 species
CGAUGGUUAGCUCAGUGGGUGAGAGCACUACGCUUUUAACGUAGCUGUCGCGGGUUCGAUUCCCGCACCAAUGC